AAGUGAACGUUUUUCAAAGUGCUGAAAACCAUGUAUUUGUAGGAAUAAUAUAUAAAUAAAUAUAUAUAUGAAUAUAUAUAUAUAUAUAUAUAUAUAUAUAUAUAUAUAUAUAUAUAUAUAUAUAUAUAUAUAUAUAUAAAAAUGAGUCAUUAAACUGAGCUUGGAUUUUUAAGCACACGUAUAAGACCGUGGUGGUUUGAUUGUGAAACGACAUUGGAGGCUGCGCUUGAAGUUUUUUCAUUGGUUGCAUGAUUCUCUUGUGUGUUCGCUCUCGAGUCUCCUCACGCAGGAUGGGAACAACAAUUUGAGGAAAAAAAACUUACAUUUAAAGUUGAUCAUACAGAUGUUUUGUUUUUUUCAUCUGACUUUUGUUUGACUUCUUUCUAGAUUGUGCAAAUUCAACCAGGCAGCAGUCACUGCCGUCUGGACGUAAGAGAUGAAUAUCCAUUCCUCACAUUUCAUCAUAUGAGUGAAGAAUAGACCGUCACUACAGACAUGCGAUAUACCUGCUUUUAACCUCGCGUACGUGUCUGCAUCACUGCGUCUGUUUGGGAAGAGUCUGCGGCGCCGGGGUCGUCUCUGAGAGGAGGGGAGAGGAUUAGCUGCUACAUUCAAACUGGACCGUUAUCUGAGCUGAGACCGUGGUCAGCAGUGCAGCCGAGCGGCGCGGGCACCAACCCGAGCCGAGAAACCAACCCAAGCCGUGCCAGCUCCAUUCAGGACGGACUUAUCCACUGUGUGGGAGACGGUGCCAGAGGCUUCCCAUGGAAGAGCUCAUCUUUAAUGGAUGUGGAAAGAAAUAACUGUGCAUGCAUUCACCAAACCAGCCCGUUCCUUGAAGCAUUUCCUCUCUUGUGAAACCGAACCAUGAUGUUAGAGAAUUGAUCAUCAACAUCGCCGCUCGUGGCUGAUGGGAUCUGUGUCCAACACAACUAAAGCAAGAUAAAGUUUGCUGUCAGAAUCUUAAAAAAGUUUGUGUAUUUUUUUUUUUUACAAUCAACCAGAAGCACCGAUCAGAUCUAAAUUUAAUUUGAAUGUAUGAGCUGCCGGUGCAUAAUGAGGCAAUAAAUUCAGCGAGACACAAAGUAAAUUGCCGUGUCCUGAGGAUCGUGGUUGCUUUCUUGUAAUUGCAUUAAUGCCUCUUAACCAGGAAUGACAGCGGCCCCAUGGGGGGAAAAUCUGAGCUUUUUAAAUUUAACAGGCAAGUAAGAAGAACUUUCUGCCUCACACAAAUCUAUGUUAAGAUGAUUUUUAUCACCA
rnacentral:lncRNA from 1 species